UUGUUGCAGUUAAAAGCUCGUAGUUGAACCUCGCCGCCGGCUCCGGGUCCCCCGAAAGGGGUGUACUCGGCGCUUGCGGCUUUGCCCUACUAGUGUGUGCGUUCGCGUGCACUCAUAGGGGGCGUUUACUGUGAGAAAAUUAGAGUGUUCAAAGCAGGCGUUUCGCUCGUAUACGUUAGCAUGGAAUAAUAGAAUAGGACGAGGGUUCUAUUUUGUUGGUUCUAGGACCGUCGUAAUGAUUAAUAGGGAUGGUCGGGGGCAUCAGUAUUCAGUAGUAAGAGGUGAAAUUCUUGGAUUUACUGAAGACUAACUGCUGCGAAAGCGUUUGCCAAGGACAUCUUCAUUAAUCAAGAACGAAAGUUAGGGGAUCGAAGACGCUUAGAUACCGUCGUAGUCUUAACCGUAAACUAUGCCGACUCUGAAUCGGCCCCUUUAUAUUCAUGGGGGGUCGGCGCAGUGUGAGAAAUCAAAGUUUUUAGGUUCUGGGGGGAGUAUGGUCGCAAGGCUGAAACUUAAAGGAAUUGACGGAAGGGCACCACCAGGAGUGGAGCCUGCGGCUUAAUUUGACUCAACACGGGGAAACUCACCAGGUCCAGACUUCUGUAGGAUUGACGCAUUGGCGAUGCUUCAUGAUUAGAAGGGUGGUGGUGCAUGGCCGUUCUUAGUUCGUGACGUAAGUUGUCUGCUUUAUUGCGAUAACGAGCGAGACCUCGGCCGCUAGUUGCCGGAGCCCACAUUUUGUGGGUUUCCGGCUCUUAGCGGGACUACCGGAGACAAUUCGGGGGAGGUUCGAGGCAAUAACAGGUCUGUGAUGCCCUUAGACGUUCUGGGCCGCACGCGCGCUACACUGACGCAGCCAGCGAGUUUAAACCUUUUCCGAAAGGAAUGGGUAAUCUUGUUAAACUGCGUCGUGCUGGGGAUAGAGCUUUGCAAUUUUUGCUCUUGAACGAGGAAUUCCUAGUAAGCGCAAGUCAUCAACUUGCGUUGAUUACGUCCCUGCCCUUUGUACACACCGCCCGUCGUUACUACCGAUUGAAUGGCUUAGUGAGAUCCUAGGAGAGUUUGUGCAUGAGGGCAACCUCUAGCGCGAGUUCAAAUUCGAUCAAA
rnacentral:rRNA from 1 species